UACGUAGGGGGCUAGCGUUGUCCGGAUUUAUUGGGCGUAAAGAGCGUGUAGGCGGCCAGGCAGGUCCGCUGUGAAAACUCGAGGCUCAACCUCGAGAGGUCGGUGGAAACCGUCUGGCUAGAGUCCGGAAGAGGAGAGUGGAAUUCCCGGUGUGGCGGUGAAAUGCGCAGAUAUCGGGAAGAACACCCGUGGCGAAGGCGGCACUCUGGGACGGUACUGACGCUGAGACGCGAAAGCGUGGGGAGCGAACAGG
rnacentral:rRNA from 1 species